AGAGUUUGAUCAUGGCUCAGAAUGAACGCUGGCGGCGUGCUUAACACAUGCAAGUCGCACGAGAACGCUUCAGCUUGCUGAAGUAAGUAAAGUGGCGCACGGGUGAGUAACGCGUGGGUAAUCUACCCUCAAAUUGGGGAUAACCCGCCGAAAGGCGGGCUAAUACCGAAUGACAUCUUGAAAUCUUAUGUUUUCAGGAUCAAAGGUGGCCUCUACAUGUAAGCUAUUGUUUGGGGAUGAGCCCGCGUACCAUUAGCUUGUUGGUAGGGUAAUGGCCUACCAAGGCUACGAUGGUUAGCUGGUCUGAGAGGAUGAUCAGCCACACUGGAACUGACACACGGUCCAGACUCCUACGGGAGGCAGCAGUGAGGAAUUUUGCGCAAUGGGGGAAACCCUGACGCAGCAACGCCGCGUGAGUGAUGAAGGCUUUCGGGUCGUAAAGCUCUGUCAAGUGGGAAGAACCCAUAUGGUGUUAAUAUGGCCAUAUGCUGACGGUACCACUGAAGGAAGCACCGGCUAACUCCGUGCCAGCAGCCGCGGUAAUACGGGGGGUGCGAGCGUUAUUCGGAAUUACUGGGCGUAAAGAGCGCGUAGGCGGUCUUUUAAGUCAGGUGUGAAAGCCCGGGGCUCAACCCCGGAAGUGCACUUGAAACUAAGAGACUUGAGUAUGGGAGAGGGAAGUGGAAUUCCUGGUGUAGCGGUGAAAUGCGUAGAUAUCAGGAGGAACAUCAGUGGCGAAGGC
rnacentral:rRNA from 1 species